rnacentral:rRNA from 1 species
UUUAAUUCGAAGCAACGCGAAGAACCUUACCUAAGCUUGACAUCCCAAUGACAUCUCCUUAAUCGGAGAGUUCCCUUCGGGGACAUUGGUGACAGGGUGUUCAUUGUUGUCGUCAUCUCGUGUCGUGGGAUGUGGGGUUUAGUCCCGCAACGAGCGCAACCCUUGUCUGUAGUUGCCAUCAUUAAGUUGCGCACUCUAGAGAGACUGCCAGGGAUAACCUGGAG